rnacentral:snoRNA from 1 species
GUGACGACAUUGGUCUUAGCUGAAUAGUGACGAGGGGAACGAUUACGCGA